ACCGGAAGAACCUCAACUACCUGCA
rnacentral:piRNA from 1 species